GUCUGCCAGGGCAGAACCCAGGGCAUGCAGAUCUGGAAGGCCUGAUUCAGGUGCUUCUCCAGGACCGCGAGGGCUUCCUUGGCGUCCUGGAUUUUACCCCCCUCAUCUUGGGAUGGUCUGGGCAUGCCAGAAGAGGGCGUGGCCACCACAGCGGUUUUGCAUUUUCGAGAGACGCUGGGAUCUCGGGAGUUUCUCCUCAGACAGUUUGCAGAAAAAUUUGGCUCACACCCACCGGAGCCACAUCGUUGCUUUGGAGAAGCCCAGAGAGAGGGGAAUGGUGACUUUUGUGGUGGCCUGACUCUGCUCGUCUGCAGCAAUGGUGCUCACACUGGAC
rnacentral:lncRNA from 1 species